rnacentral:rRNA from 1 species
UACAGAGACUGCAAGCGUUAUUCGGAUUCACUGGGCGUAAAGGGUGCGCAGGCGGCCAAGUGUGUGAGGCGUGAAAGCCCGGGGCCCAACCCCGGAACUGCAUCUGAAACUGCUUGGCUCGAGUCCCGGAGAGGAAGGCAGAAUUCCCGGUGUAGGGGUGAAAUCCGUAGAUAUCGGGAGGAAUACCAGCGGCGAAGGCGGCCUUCUGGACGGUGACUGACGCUGAGACGCGAAAGCGUGGGGAGCAAACAGG